CAGCAGCCGCGGUAAUACGUAGGGUGCAAGCGUUAAUCGGAAUUACUAGGCGUAAAGCGUGCGCAGGCGGUGAGUUAAGUCUGCUGUGAAAUCCCCGGGCUCAACCUGGGAAUGGCAAUGGAUACUGGCAAGCUAGAGUGUGUCAGAGGAUGGUGGAAUUCCCGGUGUAGCGGUGAAAUGCGUAGAGAUCGGGAGGAACAUCAGUGGCGAAGGCGGCCAUCUGGGACAACACUGACGCUGAGGCACGAAAGCGUGGGGAGCAAACAGGAUUAGAUACCCGCGUAGUCCCUGUCUCUUAUAC
rnacentral:rRNA from 1 species